AAUCUUAGUUGUAAAAACCUCUAUACAUUUUAGGUCUUAAUAUUUGAAAACUUCCGCUGCUGCUGAUAUUUCUUGGGUGGUCGAUCCGUUUACUUAGGCAUCAGUUCCACUUUCAUUUAUAUAACAGUGAUACUAUUCCGCAGUUUUCUGCUAUCACUGACUUCGGUUCUCCAAUCGUGCCUUGAUUCGUCAGAUCUGAAUCUUCCAGAUCAAUCUCCUUCUCUGAGUAGAUCCGCGAUGGUGUAAUUCAGUGAUGAAAGGAAGAUAGAUACAGUAAACUCUCAAUCUCAAGAUUGAGCUUACAAGAACUGCUCACAUAAGUGAUGAAUAUGGAAUAAAUAAAAUGGGUGAUUCAUGAUAUCCAAACUCAUCAUAGCAUGAGGAAGGUAAGACCUAUUAAAAUAAAUAGGAUGCAUUGCUAGUGAUUUUAUGUGUAUUUGAAAAAUCCCAUAUUUCUAACAAUAUGCUAAACAAAACAAUAUGCAUUUGAAAUCAAAGAUUUCAUAUAUUUGCUACCAUAUAAAGUAAUUCUCUACCUGUUCUCCUUAUUAUUUGGAGGUAUUAUCAUUCGUAAAUCAUGUCAAAGAACUCCCAUGUCUAUAAAUUGUGAAAAUAUGUUUGUUAAUGAUAUUAUAAAUCCUAAAUCCUAAUGAAUUAAAGAUGACUACAAAUACUUUUUCAUGUGAAUUGAGUAGAGUUUCCCUUACGAAUUUGGUAUCGUAUCAAAUUCAAUUAUUGUAGAAAAUAUAAAAUUCGAUCACUUCGCAUACAGAACACUUUACCUCCAUUUAUGGUGCAUAGUGAUGAGACCUUCCCACAAUUAGUAUAAUGAUAGGCUUCAUAAUUAUCGAAAGCAGGUUGACCAAAGAUUUCACAUUAUCAUGACAAAUGAAGUUAAAGGACACCACAUUAACUUCUCAAAUUGAAUAUUGACUUGAUACAAAAUGAAAUCAUUGGUCAACCUUCUACUGAUUUGUCAUAUAAAUUAUGGAAUAGUUUUUUUUCACUAUGCACAUUGUAUGAAGGUGGGGAGUUUUGAUUACAAGUAGAUUGAAUUGUCUGUUUUGAACAAUAAUUGAUUGUAAUAUGUAUAUCUGAAUAAUAAGGAAUAUUUUGACCCAUUCGCAUUGAUUGAUUGUAAUAUGUAUGUGCGAAUUAAUAAUAACUCAUCAAGAUUUAGGCUUUUAUGAUAUCAUUGAUAAAUAUAUUUUUACUAGAUUUAUCAUUCCUUUUGACAUGAGACUUGUCAAUAUUAAUACCCUCAAAUUUAAUAAUGAGAAGAUGUAGAGCAUUACUUCAAAUGGUAGAAAACUUAUAAAUUCUUCAAUUUCAAUUGCAAGUUGUAUUUUGUUUCUUUAGCCAUCAAUCUUCCACUAAGAAGAUAUGGAGCAUUCCUUUGGUGAUCAUGGAAUUUGAUUGGGGUUUGUGGGGUGUGAACUUGGAAUUUUUUAUAAAAAGAUCAAUGUUGAAUCUAAGAUAUACAUCAUCUACAAUUAAAGAAUCAUCGAUCUAUUUUGUGAAAUUAACUCCGUUGAUAAAAAAAUUCUCAUAUCUAUUAAUUCCCAUUAUGGAUUAUUCUCAUAAAUUUUUUUCAACAUAAAUGUAUUAUUUGAGAUUGUUACACAGUCCAUAAGUUUAUGGAGUGGUGAAUAUGUUAUUAAGAUGUAUGGCCAACAAGUUUGCAAGGCUUCCGGGAACUUCCUUUUCUCCUAUACAGCAGCUGUGGAAAGCUAUUUGGCGUGCUCCGGUCCUUCCAAGAGUGCGGAAUUUUUUGUGGAGAUUAGCCAAGAAUAUUCUCACCACAAAGGACAACUUGUUGAAGAAAGGCAUUGGCCUUGAUGUUUCGUGCUCCAUGUGUUCUUCUUCUACUGAAUCCGCUCACCAUCUUUUCUUGGAAUGCCCUUUUGCUAAACAGGUCCUCUUCUCCUCUAUCUUGAGUUAUCGUUUUCCCCCUGAUAUUGAUAUCUCUGUUUGGAUGCUGGAAUUUUUGAGUUGUGGGGAAGUUUUGAGCAUUCAACUUCUAUGUGUUUCUCUCCACAAAAUUUGGUGUGCCCGUAAUUUUAUGUUGUACCAAAAUAUGUUUUGGGUGGAAAACACAGCCGGUGAGACUUCUUUGGCGUUCAAUGUGACCUUGAUCCAAGUUGAUGCCGGAGUUUUCUAGGAGGGGUCCGCUUCUCAUUUGGUUGCGUGUUCAGGAACCAGAAGGCGGGUAUUAUCAUGGCUGCCAGCAAAAAGAAUUCUAUCACGGUGGCCCCUGAUUUAGCGGAACUGCUGGCUAUUCGUUGGUGCCUAAGUAUUGCUUCUGCCGUGAGUAUUGAGCGCAUUCUGAUCCAAUCGGAUGCUAAGUAUGUGGUUGAUGUUAUAAAUUCUGUAGUGCUAGAUGCGGUUCUCGAACCUAUUGCAGCUGAUUGUCGGUGGCUUCUCAGUAAAUUUAAACUUGGUUCUAUUAUGUUUUUACAUAGGAAGUUUACUUUAGAUGCUUACAAUCUUGUGGUGCUUGGUCAUUUGUAUGGUUCCAAAACUUGGAUUGGGGGCUUCCCUCCGUGGAUCCCAAUGUUGUAAUUCCCCCUAUUUCAUCUUAAUGAACUCCCUAUCUUACCAUAAAAAUAAAAAUAAAUAAAUGAUAUUAAGAUGUAAUAAAUUUGAAUAUUUGUUAAUUGGUAUGUAUAGCUGACAUGUAAUUUGUUUAGCGUUCAAAUAUACAACACUGUUGACAUUUUGCGUCGUCUUAAUUUAGACUUUAAUAGAUGAAAAGAAAACUAGUAUAAGGAGUUAUUGUGAAGAACAUAGACAAAUUUAUAUUUGAUGGUUUGUAUUAUUAGAUUCUUUAACAAUGUAUUUCUUUCUAUGUUGUUGGUGUUUUGUUUUAUGAUUUUUUUUUUUUUAGGAUUUGAUGCAAUACAGGGGAAGGAUUGUGGUGCUACCCUUGUUUGUAGAUCAAAUUUUUAAGUAACUGAGUUAAAUAUGAUGCAUUAUUAUAUUAGUAUGUUAACAACAAAUGAUUUAAUUUAUGUUCAAUAUCUUAUAAAACUACAUUAUCAAAUUUGUAUUAUUUACAUAUAUCAGUAUUUUAGAAAAUAUAUUAUGAUGAUC